AUUCUACUCCCUCCGUUGCACAAUACAUGCCUUCUAUUUGUCAAAAUAUAUAUGUAUCUAGACAUGUUUUAGUAUAUAGGUACAUCCAUUUUUGGACAAAUGGAAGUAAAGUAUUUUGGAACGAAGGGAGUACACA
rnacentral:pre_miRNA from 1 species